GAGGGUUCGCGGAGUGAGGCGCCCAAUGUGGGCCUUCUGCCGAAGAAGUAGGGGCGGGGGGAAGUUUAGGAGUUGAGGAAAGAAGAUUAAAGAGCGCGAGGAGACAAAUAAAAAGAAGUGUUAAGGAUUGCCCUUUGACUCUAAAGGCUGAAGAAUACCUGAUAAAUUGAAAGUUUGUGCCCCAUAGCUGCACAGAAAUCCGGCUCCUAUUUAUAAUCCAUAUGAUCCUUAACUUAUUGAUAAGUAAGUAGAAAAACCUAUUGUAAAACUGGAAAAUCCUAAGUUGGAUCACCAGAA
rnacentral:lncRNA from 1 species